rnacentral:rRNA from 1 species
AGGAUGAACGCUGGCGGCGUGCUUAAUACAUGCAAGUCGAGCGGCAGCAUGCACUUCGGUGUGAUGGCGAGCGGCGGACGGCUGAGUAACGCGUAGGAAUGUACCCCAAAGUGAGGGAUAAGCACCAGAAAUGGUGUCUAAUACCGCAUGUGAUCUAAGGAUUAAAGCUUUAUGCGCUUUGGGAACGGCCUGCGUACGAUUAGCUUGUUGGUAAGGUAAUGGCUUACCAAGGCGAUGAUCGUUAGCUGGUCUGAGAGGAUGAUCAGCCAGACUGGGACUGAGACACGGCCCAGACUCCUACGGGAGGCAGCAGUAGGGAAUUUUCCACAAUGGGCGAAAGCCUGAUGGAGCAACGCCGCGUGCAGGAUGAAGGCCCUUGGGUCGUAAACUGCUUUCUCUGUGAGGAAUAUGACAGUAGCAGAGGAAUAAGGAUCGGCUAACUCCGUGCCAGCAGCCGCGGUAAUC